rnacentral:rRNA from 1 species
GGAUAGCGGAGAAAUUCCAAUCGAACUCGGAGAUAGCUGGUUCUCCUCGAAAUAGUUUUAGGACUAGCCUUGUUUAGUAGUACAUGGGGGUAGAGCACUGAAGGAGCUAGGGGCCAAACCAGGUUACCGAACUCUAUCAAACUCCGAAUACCAUGUAUGUAAGAACAGGAGUCAGACUGUGGGAGCUAAGUUCCAUGGUCAAAAGGGAAAGAGCCCAGAUCGUCAAUUAAGGUCCCAAAGAUAUAGUUAAGUGGAAAACGAUGUGAUUUUGCGUAAACAACCAGGAUGUUGGCUUAGAAGCAGCCAUUCAUUUAAAGAGUGCGUAAUAGCUCACUGGUCGAGUGGAGUUGCGCGGAAAAUUACCGGGGCUAAACUAUACACCGAAAUUGCGGAUUCAUACGUAAGUAUGAGUGGUAGAGGAGCAUUCUGUUGUAGGACGAAGCAUGAUCGAAAGGACAUGUGGACGAAGCAGAAGAGAGAAUGCCGGAAUAAGUAGCGAAAGCAUGGUGAGAAUCCAUGCCAUCGAAAGUCUAAGGUUUCCUGGGGAAGGUUCGUCCGCCCAGGGUAAGUCGGGACCUAAGGAGAGGCCGAAAGGCGUAUCUGAUGGACAGCAGGUAGAGAUUCCUGCACCACUGAUAUACUUAAAAAAUGCAAGGGACACAGUAGUGGAAGGAAAGCGAGGAAGAGGAAAGACUCGUAUCGAAAGAUAUAGUGAAAAAAUAAGUAACGAAUUUCCAAGAAGCACACUGGCGAGAAAAGCUUGUAGGAAUUGUAUAAAGGUGCCCGUACCGCAAACCGACACAGGUAGAUGAGGAGAGGAUCCUAAGAUGAGCGAGAGAAGCAUUGUUAAGGAACUCGGCAAAUUGACCCCGUAACUUAGGGAGAAGGGGUACCGGUGUAACAGCCGGUCGCAGUGAAUCGGUCCAAGCAACUGUUUAACAAAAACACAGGUUUCUGCUAAAUCGAAAGAUGAAGUAUAGGAGCUGACGCCUGCCCAGUGCUGGAAGGUUAAGGGGAAGAGUUAGAUGUAAGUCGAAGCUUAGAACCAAAGCCCCAGUGAACGGCGGCCGUAACUAUAACGGUCCUAAGGUAGCGAAAUUCCUUGUCAGGUAAGUUCUGACCCGCACGAAAGGCGUAAUGAUUUGGGCGCUGUCUCGACAAUGUACUCGGCGAAAUUGUAGUACUAGUGAAGAUGCUAGUUACCUGCGACAAGACAGAAAGACCCCAUGGAGCUUUACUGUAGCUUGAUACUGGGUUUCGAUAAUUUAUGUACAGGAUAGGUGGGAGGCGAAGAAGCAAUUGCGCCAGCAGUUGUGGAGUCAUCCUUGGGAUACCACCCUUAAGUUAUUGAAAUUCUAACCUGUAGUCCUGAGCGGGCUAGGGGACAAUGUCAGGCGGGCAGUUUGACUGGGGCGGUCGCCUCCAAAAGAGUAACGGAGGCGCGCAAAGGUUUCCUCAGCACGGACAGAAAUCGUGCGAAAGAGUGCAAAGGCAGAAGGAAGCUUAACUGAGAGACUGACAAGUCGACCAGAUACGAAAGUAGGUCUUAGUGAUCCGGCGGUAGUGAGUGGAAAUGCCGUCGCUCAACGGACAAAAGUUACCCUGGGGAUAACAGGCUUAUCUCCCCCAAGAGUUCACAUCGACGGGGAGGUUUGGCACCUCGAUGUCGGCUCAUCACAUCCUGGAGCGGAAGUACGUUCCAAGGGUUGGGCUGUUCGCCCAUUAAAGUGGUACGCGAGCUGGGUUCAGAACGUCGUGAGACAGUUCGGUCCUUAUCUGUCGCAGGCGGAGGAUAUUUGAAGGGAGUUGGCCCUAGUACGAGAGGACCAGGCUGAACGAACCGCUGGUGCACCAGUUGUCAUACCAAUGGCACAGCUGGGUAGCUAAGUUCGGAAGGGAUAAACGCUGAAAGCAUCUAAGUGUGAAGCCCACCCUAAGAUAAGAUAUCCCAUACCGUAAGGUAGUAAGAUUCCACGUAGACUAUGUGGUUGAUAGGUUGGAGGUGUAAGUGCAGCAAUGCAUUAAGCUGACCAAUACUAAUAAAUCGAGGGCUUAACCA